rnacentral:rRNA from 1 species
GUGGGGAAUUUUGGACAAUGGGCGAAAGCCUGAUCCAGCCAUGCCGCGUGCAGGAUGAAGGCCUUCGGGUUGUAAACUGCUUUUGUACGGAACGAAAAGACUUCUUCUAAUACAGGAGGUCCAUGACGGUACCGUAAGAAUAAGCACCGGCUAACUACGUGCCAGCAGCCGCGGUAAUACGUAGGGUGCAAGCGUUAAUCGGAAUUACUGGGCGUAAAGCGUGCGCAGGCGGUUAUAUAAGACAGAUGUGAAAUCCCCGGGCUCAACCUGGGAACUGCAUUUGUGACUGUAUAGCUAGAGUACGGUAGAGGGGGAUGGAAUUCCGCGUGUAGCAGUGAAAUGCGUAGAUAUGCGGAGGAACACCGAUGGCGAAGGCAAUCCCCUGGACCUGUACUGACGCUCAUGCACGAAAGCGUGGGGAGCAAACAGGAUUAGAAACCCUUGUAGUCC